rnacentral:rRNA from 1 species
UACGUAGGUGGCAAGCGUUAUCCGGAUUUAUUGGGCGUAAAGCGAGCGCAGGCGGUUUUUUAAGUCUGAUGUGAAAGCCCUCGGCUUAACCGAGGAAGUGCAUCGGAAACUGGGAAACUUGAGUGCAGAAGAGGACAGUGGAACUCCAUGUGUAGCGGUGAAAUGCGUAGAUAUAUGGAAGAACACCAGUGGCGAAGGCGGCUGUCUGGUCUGUAACUGACGCUGAGGCU